UGGGGAAUCUUGCACAAUGGAGGAAACUCUGAUGCAGCGACGCCGCGUGGACGACGAAGCCCUUCGGGGUGUAAAGUCCUUUCGACCGGAACGAUAAUGACGGUACCGGUGGAAGAAGCUGCGGCUAACUACGUGCCAGCAGCCGCGGUAAUACGUAGGCAGCAAGCGUUGUUCGGAAUUACUGGGCGUAAAGAGUUCGUAGGCGGUGCGGCAAGUUCGGUGUGAAAUCUCCCGGCUCAACUGGGAGGGUGCGCUAAAUACUGCCGUGCUCGAGUAUAGGAGAGGUAAGCGGAAUUCCUGGUGUAGCGGUGAAAUGCGUAGAUAUCAGGAGGAACACCUGUGGUGUAGACGGCUUACUGGACUAUAACUGACGCUGAGGAACGAAAGCGUGGGUAGCAAACAGGAUUAGAUACC
rnacentral:rRNA from 1 species